AGAGUUUGAUCUUGGCUCAGAACGAACGCUGGCAGCGUGGAUUAGGCAUGCAAGUCGAACGAGAAAUCGCGAGUUCAAGUUUUCGGACAAGAACAUGUGAUGGAAAGUGGCGAAAGGGUGAGUAACACGUGAGAAAUUUACCUCUAAGUUGGGGACAACCUUUGGAAACGAGGGUUAAUACCGAAUGUGGUCGUACAUAGCAUUAUGUACUGUCUAAAGAUGGGGAUCCUUCGGGACCUGUCGCUUAAAGAUGAGCUCGCGUACUAUCAGCUAGUUGGUGAGGUAAUGGCCCACCAAGGCUAAGACGGUUAGGUGGUCUGAGAGGAUGGUCACCCACACUGGGACUGAGACACUGCCCAGACUCCUACGGGAGGCUGCAGUCGAGAAUCAUUCGCAAUGCGCGAAAGCGUGACGAUGCGACGCUGCGUGUAGGAUGACGGCCCUUGGGUUGUAAACUACUGUCAGAAGGGAGUAACGAUCAUCCGGUUAAUAACCGGGUGAAGUGAUAGUACCUUCAGAGGAAGCCACGGCUAACUCUGUGCCAGCAGCCGCGGUAAUACAGAGGUGGCGAGCGUUGUUCGGAUUUACUGGGCGUAAAGGGUGCGUAGGCGGUUUUGUGUGUCAGAUGUGAAAGCCAACCUUUCAUGGGUUGAAUGUCAUUUGAAACUGCAGAACUAGAGUACGGGAGAGGAGAGCGGAAUUCAUGGUGUAGCGGUGAAAUGCGUAGAUAUCAUGAAGAACACCGGUGGCGAAGGCGGCUCUCUGGAACGAUACUGACGCUGAGGCACGAAAGCUAGGGUAGCGGAGAGGAUUAGAUACCCUCGUAGUCCUAGCCGUAAACGUUGUACACUUGAUGUAGGCAGGUUUACCCCUGUCUGUGUCGGAGCUAACGUGUUAAGUGUACCGCCUGGGGAGUACGGUCGCAAGGCUAAAACUCAAAGGAAUUGACGGGGACCCGCACAAGCGGUGGAGCAUGUGGCUUAAUUCGAUGCAACGCGAAGAACCUUACCCAGGCUUGACAUGACACUGCACGCUUCCCGAAAGGGAGGAAGCCUUCGAGGGUGUGUCACAGGUGCUGCAUGGCUGUCGUCAGCUCGUGCCGUGAGGUGUUGGGUUAAGUCCCGCAACGAGCGCAACCCUUGUGAUUAGUUGCUAGUUGUUCAGAAAUGGACAGCGCACUCUAGUCAGACUGCCGGUGAUAAGCCGGAGGAAGGUGGGGAUGACGUCAAGUCCGUAUGGUCCUUAUGCCUGGGGCUGCACACGUGCUACAAUGGACGGUACAGUGGGAAGCAAUACCGCGAGGUGGAGCAAAUCCUCAAAACCGUCCUCAGUUCGGAUUGGAGUCUGCAACUCGACUCCAUGAAGUUGGAAUCGCUAGUAAAGGCGUAUCAGCUACGACGCCUUGAAUACGUUCCCGGGUCUUGUACACACCGCCCGUCACACCACGAAAGCCGAUUGCACCCGAAGUCGCUGUUCCAACCCUUGUGGAGGAAGGUGCCGAAGGUGUGACUGGUAAUUGGGAUGAAGUCGUAACAAGGUA
rnacentral:rRNA from 1 species